AGGAUGAACGCUGGCGGCGUGCCUAACACAUGCAAGUCGAGCGGAGACAGUGAGUAGCUUGCUAUGAGCUGUUUUAGCGGCGGACGGGUGAGUAACGCGUGAGCAACCUUUCCCAGACAGGGGAAUAACACACCGAAAGGUGUACUAAUACCGCAUAAGACCACGGGAUCACAUGGUUCUGGGGUAAAAGAAUUAUCGGUUUGGGGUGGGCUCGCGUCCGAUUAGGUAGUUGGUGAGGUAACGGCCCACCAAGCCGACGAUCGGUAGCCGACCUGAGAGGGUGAUCGGCCACAUUGGGACUGAGACACGGCCCAAACUCCUACGGGAGGCAGCAGUGGGGAAUAUUGGGCAAUGGAGGAAACUCUGACCCAGCAACGCCGCGUGGAGGAAGAAGGUUUUCGGAUCGUAAACUCCUGUCCUUGGAGACGAGUAGAAGACGGUAUCCAAGGAGGAAGCCCCGGCUAACUACGUGCCAGCAGCCGCGGUAAUACGUAGGGGGCAAGCGUUGUCCGGAAUAAUUGGGCGUAAAGGGCGCGUAGGCGGCUCGGUAAGUCUGGAGUGAAAGUCCUGCUUUUAAGGUGGGAAUUGCUUUGGAUACUGUCGGGCUUGAGUGCAGGAGAGGUUAGUGGAAUUCCCAGUGUAGCGGUGAAAUGCGUAGAGAUUGGGAGGAACACCAGUGGCGAAGGCGACUAACUGGACUGUAACUGACGCUGAGGCGCGAAAGUGUGGGGAGCAAACAGGAUUAGAUACCCUGGUAGUCCACACUGUAAACGAUGAAUGCUAGGUGUAGGGGGUAUCGACCCCUUCUGUGCCGCAGUC
rnacentral:rRNA from 1 species